rnacentral:rRNA from 1 species
GUCUUGCCUGCCCACUGAGUAUUUAAAGGGCCGCGGUAUUUUGACCGUGCAAAGGUAGCAUAAUCAUUAGUCUUCUAAUUAGGGACUGGGAUGAAAGGCAUGACGAGGUACAAACUGUCUCCAUAAAAGAAGGAGAAGUUAACUUUUUAGUUAAAAGGCUAAAGUGAAAUUAUAGGACGAGAAGACCCUAUAGAACUUUAUAAAUUAGGGUUAAGUUUUUAGCAGAAGUAUUAUUUAGACCUAAAUUUUAUUACGUUGGGGUGAUGGGGUAAUAAAAUAACUUAUCUUAAAUAUAACACAAUAAAUGAUUAGAGGAUCCAUGAAGAAUGAAUAAAAAAUUAAGUUACCUUAGGGAUAACAGCGUAAUCCUUUUUGAGAGUUCAUAUCGAUAUGAGGGGUUGCGACCUCGAUGUUGGAUUAAAGGUAAUCUUAGGUGCAGCUGCUUAAGAUUGGGGUCUGUUCGAC